rnacentral:rRNA from 1 species
GACGUUCAACCGCAAAACAAGCAGAGGGGGCUUAGUGGUGGGGUGACUGCGUACCUUUUGUAUAAUGGGUCAGCGACUUAUAUUCUGUAGCAAGGUUAACCGAAUAGGGGAGCCGGAGGGAAACCGAGUCUUAAUUGGGCGUUAAGUUGCAGGGUAUAGACCCGAAACCCGGUGAUCUAGCCAUGGGCAGGUUGAAGGUUGGGUAACACUAACUGGAGGACCGAACCGACUAAUGUUGAAAAAUUAGCGGAUGACCUGUGGCUGGGGGUGAAAGGCCAAUCAAACCGGGAGAUAGCUGGUUCUCCCCGAAAGCUAUUUAGGUAGCGCCUCGUGAAUUCAUCUCCGGGGGUAGAGCACUGUUUCGGCUAGGGGGCCAUCCCGGCUUACCAACCCGAUGCAAACUGCGAAUACCGGAGAAUGUUAUCACGGGAGACACACGGCGGGUGCUAACGUCCGUCGUGAAGAGGGAAACAACCCAGACCGCCAGCUAAGGUCCCAAAGUCAUGGUUAAGUGGGAAACGAUGUGGGAAGGCCCAGACAGCCAGGAUGUUGGCUUAGAAGCAGCCAUCAUUUAAAGAAAGCGUAAUAGCUCACUGGUCGAGUCGGCCUGCGCGGAAGAUGUAACGGGGCUAAACCAUGCACCGAAGCUGCGGCAGCGAACGUAUCACCCAAGACAACUUUACGGAGUUGACGAUUGACGGAGCGAAGCGACGUCAAAGCGUUCAUUAAAGUCGAGUUGGCUUAGGGAUACGUUCGUUGGGUAGGGGAGCGUUCUGUAAGCCUGUGAAGGUGUGUCGUGAGGCAUGCUGGAGGUAUCAGAAGUGCGAAUGCUGACAUAAGUAACGAUAAAGCGGGUGAAAAGCCCGCUCGCCGGAAGACCAAGGGUUCCUGUCCAACGUUAAUCGGGGCAGGGUGAGUCGACCCCUAAGGCGAGGCCGAAAGGCGUAGUCGAUGGGAAACGGGUUAAUAUUCCCGUACUUGGUGUUACUGCGAAGGGGGGACGGAGAAGGCUAUGUUGGCCGGGCGACGGUUGUCCCGGUUUAAGCGUGUAGGUGUGUGUUCCAGGUAAAUCCGGUUCACUUUAACACUGAGGCGUGACGACGAGGCACUACGGUGCUGAAGCAACAAAUGCCCUGCUUCCAGGAAAAGCCUCUAAGCAUCAGGUAACACGAAAUCGUACCCCAAACCGACACAGGUGGUCAGGUAGAGAAUACCAAGGCGCUUGAGAGAACUCGGGUGAAGGAACUAGGCAAAAUGGUGCCGUAACUUCGGGAGAAGGCACGCUGACACGUAGGUGAAGUGAUUUACUCAUGGAGCUGAAGUCAGUCGAAGAUACCAGCUGGCUGCAACUGUUUAUUAAAAACACAGCACUGUGCAAACACGAAAGUGGACGUAUACGGUGUGACGCCUGCCCGGUGCCGGAAGGUUAAUUGAUGGGGUCAGCGCAAGCGAAGCUCCUGAUCGAAGCCCCGGUAAACGGCGGCCGUAACUAUAACGGUCCUAAGGUAGCGAAAUUCCUUGUCGGGUAAGUUCCGACCUGCACGAAUGGCGUAAUGAUGGCCAGGCUGUCUCCACCCGAGACUCAGUGAAAUUGAACUCGCUGUGAAGAUGCAGUGUACCCGCGGCAAGACGGAAAGACCCCGUGAACCUUUACUAUAGCUUGACACUGAACAUUGAGCCUUGAUGUGUAGGAUAGGUGGGAGGCUUUGAAGUGUGGACGCCAGUCUGCAUGGAGCCGACCUUGAAAUACCACCCUUUAAUGUUUGAUGUUCUAACGUGGACCCGUAAUCCGGGUUGCGGACAGUGUCUGGUGGGUAGUUUGACUGGGGCGGUCUCCUCCUAAAGAGUAACGGAGGAGCACGAAGGUUGGCUAAUCCUGGUCGGACAUCAGGAGGUUAGUGCAAUGGCAUAAGCCAGCUUGACUGCGAGCGUGACGGCGCGAGCAGGUGCGAAAGCAGGUCAUAGUGAUCCGGUGGUUCUGAAUGGAAGGGCCAUCGCUCAACGGAUAAAAGGUACUCCGGGGAUAACAGGCUGAUACCGCCCAAGAGUUCAUAUCGACGGCGGUGUUUGGCACCUCGAUGUCGGCUCAUCACAUCCUGGGGCUGAAGUAGGUCCCAAGGGUAUGGCUGUUCGCCAUUUAAAGUGGUACGCGAGCUGGGUUUAGAACGUCGUGAGACAGUUCGGUCCCUAUCUGCCGUGGGCGCUGGAGAACUGAGGGGGGCUGCUCCUAGUACGAGAGGACCGGAGUGGACGCAUCACUGGUGUUCGGGUUGUCAUGCCAAUGGCACUGCCCGGUAGCUAAAUGCGGAAGAGAUAAGUGCUGAAAGCAUCUAAGCACGAAACUUGCCCCGAGAUGAGUUCUCCCUGAGACUUAGAGUCUCCUGAAGGAACGUUGAAGACGACGACGUUGAUAGGCCGGGUGUGUAAGCGCAGCGAUGCGUUGAGCUAACCGGUACUAAUGAACCGUGAGGCUUAACCUUACA